rnacentral:misc_RNA from 1 species
UACGGAGGGGGUUAGCGUUGUUCGGAAUUACUGGGCGUAAAGGGCGCGUAGGCGGACCAUCAAGUCAGGGGUGAAAGGCCUGGGCUCAACCCGGGAACUGCCUUUGAAACUGAAGGUCUAGAGUCCGAGAGAGGAUAGCGGAAUUCCCAGUGUAGAGGUGAAAUUCGUAGAUAUUGGGAAGAACACCAGUGGCGAAGGCGGCUAUCUGGCUCGGUACUGACGCUGAGGCGCGAAAGCGUGGGGAGCAAACAGG